AAUUUUCAAACUUCAAAACAUAGGCUGUGUUUUGUUUCUAUAAUCGCUGUAAUAGAAAUUGAUGCUGUUGUGUUAAAAUAUACACAAUAAUAGAUAUACCCUAGUCGAAAUUACAGAUUUCCUUUUGGGAAUGCAUAAAUGCCAAUCAUUUUUGAUAUUUGCUACUUGUUACUUGCUAAUCAAGCGUGCAUAAAUUCACCUUCAGUGUAGUGUAUGAUCACUUUCAUUGAUUUACAUUGUGACAACUUGCUUAAAGUAAAAGAUAAGGAAGAUGAGGAUAAGGAUGGCAGUGUUUUUCAUGAAAAGACAAUUCUUCCAGUUUUCCAAAGAAAUCACAUCCUGCAGUUUGACAAGCAAGCUGAAUGUCAUUGGACAAAGUUUCUGCCAGCAGACACCUCGCAUCCCCUAACUGGACUUUGCAUUUCUGGCAGUGUUUGAUCUUCUUCCUGCACUGUUGACAAAUAAGAUGACCUGAUCCACAACCGUAAACCUUACCCAGCGUGUAUUCUGAACAAACAGUGCACCGCAAAGAGCGACAAAUAACUGAACUGUUACGAACCAGUUUCUGUUGCUUUUCUGAUUUGCUUCGAGAUAAGUCGUGAACUAGUGUUACACUUAUCAAAAUCUUUGGAGCGUUUUGGAAGAAUUCAAGUAAUAUGUUUCUAUCAAUGGGAAGACAACCUCGGUAAUUCUUCGUGUAAACAGAGUGAUGCUUCAAGGUGCACAUUCCCCUUUUGCAGUUGUAGCAGUGGAGUCGCUCGUCAAACUCAACUAUAUCUUGGUCACUGUAAGAGAUUGAUAUGUUUCUGAAGAGAUUACAAGAUAUCUGUACGUUA